rnacentral:rRNA from 1 species
CCCAGGCCUUGUACACACCGCCCGUCACAUCAUGAAAGCCGAUUCGUACCCGAAGUCCGCCCCUCAUAAGGUGCCGAAGGUAUGGUUGGUGAUUGGGAUG